rnacentral:rRNA from 1 species
AGAGUUUGAUCCUGGCUCAGGACGAACGCUGGCGGCGCGCUUAAUACAUGCAAGUCGAGCGAGAACCAGAGCUUCGGCUCUGGGGACAGCGGCGAACGGGUGAGUAACACGUGAGUAAUCUGCCCUCGGCACCGGGAUAGCCCGGGGAAACCCGGAUUAAUACCGGAUGGCCUCUCGAACUCUAGGGCUCGAGAGAAAAGGUAGCUUCGGCCUCCGGCCGGGGAGGAGCUCGCGGCGGAUUAGCUUGUUGGUGGGGUAACGGCUCACCAAGGCGACGAUCCGUAGCUGGUCUGAGAGGACGAUCAGCCACACUGGGACUGAGACACGGCCCAGACUCCUACGGGAGGCAGCAGUAGGGAAUCUUGCGCAAUGGGCGAAAGCCUGACGCAGCGACGCCGCGUGCGGGAAGAAGGCCUUCGGGUUGUAAACCGCUUUCAGGAGGGACGAAGCCACUCGGGUUAAUAGCCCAGAGGGUGACGGUACCUCCAGAAGAAGCCCCGGCUAACUACGUGCCAGCAGCGGCGGUAAUUC